CCGCGCGUUAAUGUAUUUUUCCAAAAAGAUCGAAAUAACGAGAGCAUGCAAAUUUCUUUUUACUUCAGUCUAGUUGGUAAUAGUCGUGCAAUAGAAGUAGAAUUUUAAGUUGCUAAUAUUGAUAUGCCGAUUGACGUUUGUAAGGUGCCCGAAAUAGUUAAAAGAAAAGUAAAGAAAACGAGGGAGAAAUAUUUGUUUUAGGGAGAAUGUCAGAUUCAAUGGUAGAUGAAAGGGUGACUGAUGAAAUCGAAGCCUUAAAAGCUAUUUUAUUAGACGACGAACUGACCAUAAAAGAAAAUGACAGAGGAGAGCCAGAGUAUAUCGAAACUAUAUUAUUCCCCUCGACUGGAGAAGAUUCACAAUCGCAAUAUGUCUGCGUUACCCUUGUCGUACAAUUACCUUAUGGGUAUCCAGAUAUAUCUCCCAAUAUUAGCUUAAGAAAUCCAAGAGGAUUGGAUGAAGAUACAGUAAGGUUAAUGCAAUCUGAUGCUGAAGCUAAAUGUAAAGAUUUUAUUGGACAGCCAGUAAUGUUUGAGUUAAUUGAGUUGAUUAGGGAACAUCUUACGAGAAGCAACUUACCUACAGAUCAAUGCGCCGUUUGCUUAUAUGGCUUUAGAGAAGGCGACGAAUUUACAAAAACAGAAUGCUAUCAUUACUUUCAUUCUCAUUGCUUAGCGGCACAUGUUGCAGCAGCUGAACGUUAUUAUAGAGAAGAACAAGAGAAAUUACCGCAAUGGCAACAAGAUACUACUAACAAAUUUCAGGCUAUUUGUCCUGUUUGCCGGGAAUCUAUACAUUGCGACGUGGAAAGUUUAUGGUCGGCUCCACCUCCUAUUGACGUGGAAGCAGCCACAGACUUUUCAGUUACUGCCGAAUUAAAAGAGCUUCAAAAGCAAAUGGCAGCAUUAUACUUGAGACAACAACAAAGGGGUGGUAUCAUUGAUUUAGAAGCCGAAGGGGAAAAAAUGUUGCUAAGAACUGAAGACGAUACUGCUGUCUCCACUGAGAGAUUUAAUCCACCUAGUACUAGCUUAAACACAUAUGCUAAUCAAUCUAUUCAAUCUGUCACUCAAGUGCAAUCUUCGAACAAUACGCAAAACCAACCACGACAAUUCCAUCACAAUCAUCACGGACAUAAUAAUCAUGGACAUAAUAAUCACGGACAUCGUAACCGAGGUAGAGGACGUGCCCAUUAUCGACGUCAAUUUGAUAAAAUGAGGCAUACCGAAACUACUCCCAGAUGACAAUGGGCUCGAGAUCAUAUAUUAACUGCCUGGUCAUUUACUUUGCUGAGCGUAUUUAAUACAGUGUUAUUGUUCAGCAAUAUUCCCAUUGCACCGGCGUAUAAGAUGGGAUGUGUUGAAAGUUCUAAGGACUGUCUACAUAGACUGAAGCCAUGGUGCUCUUUAAACUGCAAGUGUACAGAUUUUUUCAUUCAGUUUCUAUAUUUUUACAUUCCUGCAAUAAUACCACCUGUGGAAAUAUUUUUCGUCGAUAGAACCACGUUAAAGAUAUUUUAACGGUGCUUUCUAAUUAGAAAUUAUCUUUAAAGUAGCAGAUAUAUUAGUAUCCUGCGCAUAUAUCUUAAUGUAGCAUUUCAAAGUGGUUCUCAAUUCGUAAUCCAAUAUGUUCAAUAAUACUCGUGUAAUAUCUCUUAUAAAAUACAUAAGUAAGAAACACAUUCUGCAUAUUCUUAUAGAAUUUUCUUAUUAGAAAAAUACAAAUGUCUCAUCAAUUAUAAAAUUAUUUAACUUGUUAUGUCAAAAUCAACGUGCUUUUUUUAAGCUUUCUAUAACUUUGUAUUUAGAUUAUUAUUUUUCUAUGCAGGAUAAAGGCAUUGUCUAUUGUAGAUAUUCCUUCAACAUAUAUAAAUUGAACAAAAAUUGUUAAUAGUUUUAAUCUCUUCCACAUGAAUGUGAUAAUUACGAAAGGGUAAUAGUAGGCUAAAAAUGAAAUCUUCAAGUAAUAUCUAUUAAAAUAAUUGAUUUACGAUUAGAAAAGACAUUAUAAUGAUGUUCACUCUUCUAUCAGUAAUAUUAUCAUUUUUCUUCACGAAAUAAUUUAUUACAUGACGAUGAUUGUUAUAUUUUUUAUGUUAGUCUAAAUAUUACAUUUCAGAAAUACUGAUAAUUAUCGAACUAAUAAUUGGCGAUAUCAAAUUGGACAUAAUCUCUAUUGAUUAUAAGUAUAACGAUUUCUUGCUCGAUAGAAAGAAGAACUAUUGAAGAAAUAUCCUUUUUGCCUAAUAUUUUGUCUAACAUUUUGCCUAGCCUAUGCGCCCGUUAAGUCUAUACAAUAUUAACAUAUGAGUGAGUGAUAGACACAAUACCUAAUUUAAUUGUUUCAUUUUAAUUUUAACGAACGGAAGAUAAGACAACAAAUUUGAAGCUUUCAUCUAAUAACAUAGUAAUCUUUCUAUCUAUUUUAUUAUUGUCCCUAUAAUUUAAUUAUUUUUCUUCGCAGCGUUGAAUUUGAAAAGCAUUUUUUUUAACUAAGUAAUUGCGUUAACGCAUUCUUGUGUAUUGGGCAGCAUAAUAUUAACAAAAAAUAUCCAAUACUUGGAAAUAUAAUUCUAUAGCAAAAUUUGUUGAAAGAUAGUCGAAAUAAAAUGUUGCUUGUGAGACAAUGUUUCUCAAAUCCUGGAUUUGUGGCUUAUGUAGCCGUUGUUCCUACGUAUGUAAUAUAAUGAUACAGUAUAAUUAUAUUUGCCAACUAUUUCAAUUUGUAAGCACCAAAGACUGCCGAGUUUAGAAAAGAAAAUCAAUUGAUUUGAUAUACAGGGUGUUGCAGAUAAAAUCAACGAAUUUAUCGAUCGUGUUUGGAAGAUUUUGAUCAAAUGUCUAUAUAAACAUGGAUUCAAAUUAUUUAUCAGGAAAUAAAGAAUUUUAGAACCAUGUCUAUAUAAACAUUUUUUUUUUAUCAAGUAAUUUAAAUUCUUCAAUAUAAUUCUUCGGUUUAGAACUUUUCUUUUCUGGACCACUUUGAGAUCUGUUUAAAAUAUGCAAUUUUACUUUUCCUUUUUUAGUAUAUUUUAUUUUCUACUACAAUUAUCUGUGAUAUUUUGUAAAUGUGGAUAUUAGAACCCGAAUUUUGGCAUAUAAUCAUUAGCUUUACUUUUAUAGUUUCGUUAGAAUUACUAUUGGUAAAUUCUAUCUCUAUACUUUUAUUAUUUAAUGCAAUUUAAGAUUAUUUAAAUAAGUUACAGAAUAAUAAAUUAAAAUUUCUCAUUAAUGAUAUUAUGCAUUAAGCAAUAAAUAAGUAAACACUUUUAAUAAAUAUUGAGUUAGAACUGCCAAAAUCCGGAUUCUUGUUACUAUUUAGUUUUUAUUGUAAUAGUACGGUAAAUAUAAAUAUUUCAUACGAAGGAUUAGAAAUUGAGAACUGAUUGCAUACACGAUGUUUUAUAUGUGUGGCAUUAUAUAGAUUCAUACUUAAUGUUUAAUUUUAUUAAUAUUAAUUUUAUCAUUUCAAAUAAUAAAUUACCUAAUAUUAA
rnacentral:misc_RNA from 1 species